rnacentral:ncRNA from 1 species
UUAAAGUUUUAUUCUUUCUUUAUUAUUAAUUAUUUUAAUUAAUUUAUAUGUAUAAAAUAUAUUUUUUUUUUUCAGUAAUUAGUAUUUUAAUAAAUUGUAAUUUUUUUUUAGUAAUUUAUUUAAUAGUUGAUAAAUUUUGUGCCAGCAUUCGCGGUUAUACAUUAAGUUAAAAUUAAUAUUUUAGGUUUAUUAUUUUUAUUUAAUUGAUUAUAAUUUUUUAUAUUUAGGUUAAAUUUAUAUAUUUUUAUUAUUAUUCUUAUGUAAUUAUAUAUAUUAAUUUAUUUGUUUAAACUAGGAUUAGAUACCCUAUUAUAUUUAAUAUAUUUUUCUGAUUAUUAAAAGUUAAGUUCUUUAAAAUUUUAAGAAUUUGGCGGUUAUUUUAAACUUUUUAGAGGAAUAUGUAUUUUAAUUGAUAAUCCACGAUAUUUUCUACUUUUAUUUGAUUUGUAUAUCUCUAUUAAUUGAAUAUUUUUUAAGAAUAAUUUUCUUUUAUUUUAUUAAAUUUAAUUUUAGGUCAAGGUGCAGUUUUAUGAAUGAUUAUAUGUAUUACUUAAAUAUUAAAUUUAUUUUAAUUAAAAACUUUUUGUUUAAUAAUUUUUAGGAUUUAAUAGUAAUUUUAAUUAAUUAAUUAAUUUGAAUUUAGUUCUAAAUAAUGUACAUAUCGCCCGUCACUCCUGAUAACAGGAUAAGUCGUAACAAAGUAGAGUUAAUGGAAAUUGAUUCUAGAAUUUUA